rnacentral:rRNA from 1 species
UAGGGAAUCUUCCACAAUGGGCGCAAGCCUGAUGGAGCAACGCCGCGUGAGUGAAGACGGCCUUCGGGUUGUAAAGCUCUGUCUGUCGGGACGAGGGCCCGGAUGCAAAUCCGGGAGGGACGGUACCGGCGGAGGAAGCCCCUGCAAACUACGUGCCAGCAGCCGCGGUAAGACGUAGGGGGCAAGCGUUGUCCGGAAUUACUGGGCGUAAAGGGCGUGUAGGCGGUUUCACACGUAGCGGUUUUCAGCCGCCGGCUCACCCGGCGGAGGGCGGCUAAACGGUGGAACUCGAGGGCAGGAGAGGUGCACGGAAUUCCUGGUGGAGCGGUGAAAUGCGUAGAGAUCAGGAAGAACACCGGUGGCGAAGGCGGUGCACUGGCCUGGCCCUGACGCUGAGGCGCGACAGCGUGGGGAGCGAACGGG